ACUAACUACUUGCGCUCGUACCGCGCACUUUAGCAACACCCACACCUCCUUAAUCAACCAACGCGCUCUGAAACGCGAACAAGAAGAAAGACCAACACGAAGAAGAAGAAGAACCAGAAGCCAAAAAGCCAAAACCAACUCAUACCAGAAGCCAAAAAGCCAAACCCAACUCAUACAUAAACACAGACUCUCUCUCUGUGUGUAUAUAAUGGAAGCUGGUGAAAAACCAUUCCCAAGCUUUCAUUCUCUCCAAAUACUCAUCUUCAUCUCACUGAUGCUGUGCAAUUUGGCUUUUGUAAAAGCAAAUAUAUCAAACCCUUCACCAUUUCGAAGAGAAUUCAAUGAGUUUCGGCCCUUGUAUUACUGUGAACGAUGCCUAGCGGGCAAGGUGCAAGAUACUGCUUCUGCUACUGGAGUCGGCAAUUAUCCAGAUGAACAGGAUAUUGACAUCAUUGCGGCAUACAGUGAUACUUCUGGUGCUAUUCAAAUUAGUAGGGUAAAAAUGAGGGACCUCUCUGCUUCCUGGGUAUGGGAAAACCCUAUGGAUGUUCACCAUGACCAGUCAACAAGUUCUGAGGCAGUGGUUGAUUCUUUUCAAUCUGGGAUAAGAUCUGGAGAGAAUGCUGAGCAUUAUAGCGAUGGGCAUCAAGAUGGUAGAAUCCCAUAUCUUUACAACUCAUCAAUGAGCCCAGUGAAGCGCAUGCGGCAGAUAGCACGGAAGGAAAGGAGGGAUCUCCGAACUGCACAACUAACUCAACAAGAUAAAGAAACUGACAACCAGAUGGCACAAGCAGCAAUUGAAAGAUCUAAAAGCCUUGACACCACUGUCAAGAGAAAGUACAAUAUAUGGAGGCGAGAUUUUGUUCAUCCACAUUCAGAUUCCAUCCUCAAACUUAUGCAGGACCAGAUGAUAAUGGCCAAAGCAUAUGCAAGCAUUGCCAAGUCUAAGAAUGAAAGUGAGCUUUACAGCGCUCUUAAGGCACACUCCAAUGCAAGUCAAAGUGCUAUUGGAGAAGCACAUUCUGAUGCUGAGCUUCACCCAAGUGCCCUUGAUCAAGCAAAAGCAAUGGGUCACAUUCUCUCUAGAGCAAAAGACAAAUUAUAUGACUGCGACAUAGUUGCAAGGACGUUUAGAGCCAUGGUUCAGUCAACUGAAGAUAAAGUAAAUGCAAUGAAGAAGAAGACUGCUUUCUUGAUUCAGCUAGCUGCGAAAACAAUCCCUAAACGAUUGCAAUGCCUUCCUCUGCAGCUUGCAGCAGAUUAUUAUAUGCAGGGUUAUUAUAGUAAACAGGAUCUUGACAAAGAAAAGCUUGAAGAUCCUUCUCUCUAUCACUAUGCCAUCUUUUCUGAUAAUGUACUAGCAACAUCUGUGGUUGUCAAUUCUACCGUGCUGCAUGCAAAGGAACCUGAAAAACAUGUUUUUCAUGUAGUCACGGAUAAACUGAAUUCUGCUGCCAUGAGAAUAUGGUUUCUUGUCAACCCUCCUAUGAAGGCAACAAUCCAAGUUGAGAACAUUGAUGAUUUCAAGUGGCUGAAUUCCUCAUACUGUUCUGUUCUAUGCCAACUUGAGUCUGCGAGAACUAAAGAAUAUUAUUUUAAAGUAAACCAUCCUACUACCGUAUCUGCUGGGGAAGACAACCUUAAAUACAGGAACCCAAAAUAUUUGUCCAUGUUGAAUCUCCUAAGGUUCUAGCUUCCCGAAGUUUACCCAAAGCUGGACAAGAUCCUAUUUUUGGAUGAUGAUAUUGUAGUUCAGAAGGAUCUCACGCCUCUUUUGUCUGUUGAUCUGCAAGGGAUGGUAAAUGGUGCAGUGGAGACAUGCAAGGAAAGCUUCCAUAGGUUUGAUAAGUAUCUCAACUUCUCUAAUCCAAAGAUCUCUGAGAAUUUUGAUCCAAAUGCUUGUGGUUGGGCAUUUGGCAUGAAUAUUUUUGACUUGAAGGAGUGGAAAAAGCGAAAUAUAACUGGAAUAUAUCAUCGUUGGCAAGAUAUGAAUGAGGAUAGGACCCUUUGGAAACUUGGCUCAUUGCCACCGGGACUGAUCACUUUCUAUAACUUGACGUAUCCACUGGAUCGAGGUUGGCAUGUCUUGGGACUUGGGUAUGACCCAGCCCUUAAUCAAUCAGAGAUAGAGAAUGCCGCUGUCAUCCAUUACAAUGGAAACUACAAGCCAUGGCUGGAUUUGGCCGUUUCAAAGUAUAAUUCUUACUGGUCUAGAUAUGUUAUGUUUGACAACCAUUAUCUUCAAUUUUGCAGCAUCCGCCAAUAACUAUUUUUUGUCCCUCUCUCUCACUCACCCCCACACUUGUCUAAUGUUUGAAUUUCAAAGAAAAGAAUUUCAAAAUG